CAAAAAAAAGAAAAAAAUAUUGAACAUUCCAUUUGUAAUCGGUAGCAUUCUUUUCCCUUUGUUGUUGUUAAAAUAAACAAAUUACCAUGUGAAGUUAACUUUUACUAGAUAAAUCCUAGACAUUGCAAUGUCAAAAUAUGCGUCAUUUUCGAAAAAUGACGGAAACCGGAGACGCGGCUCUUUUCAAGUGGACUGAUGAACACACUCGGCUCCUUAUCCAGUGGAGAGUGGCUAAUGAAGCCCUCAUUACUGGAAAGCGUAAUGCUGCCAUCAAAGGUUUUGAAGCAGAAGCUUGAGGGCAAAAUUUCUGCUGCUCAAGUCAAAAGAAAAUGGGAAAACCUAAAACAAAAAUAUAAAGAUCUUAAAUGUCCACAGAAUGGUGUGAGCACCGAGGAUGGUGAGGUUACAGCAGCGUCUUGGAAGUGGUAUUCUGUCUCGGAUGAGGCAAUAGGGGGCAGACCCUCCAUCACACACCACCCAACAUUAUUGCCUCAGGAAACAGAGGAGCUGAUCCUUGAGAUGGAGGAGAGGGAAGCAGAAAGAGAAAUGGAAGCAGUAGAAAGGGAGGAGAGGAGAUGGAGAGAGAUGAUGGAAAGGGAGGAAAGAAGAGAAAGAGAGAGACGAGAGCAAGAGGAGAGACAAGAACGAGAGGCCAAGGAUAGAGAAGAAAGAAGAGACCGAGAAAUGAGAGAGAGAGAGGAAAGACGAGACAAAGGAGAGAGAGGAGAGAUUUCUUCAGCUAUUAGAGCUCAUGGCAAAAAAAUAAAGAAUAUUAAUAUUAAACUACACUUUCUUUCCGUUUAUUUAUGCUGA
ensembl:lncRNA